CAGCAGCCGCGGUAAUACGAACCGUGCGAACGUUAUUCGGAAUCACUGGGCGUAAAGCGUGCGUAGGCGGUGAGUUAAGUCUGCUGUGAAAUCCCCGGGCUCAACCUGGGAAUGGCAGUGGAUACUGGCUCGCUAGAGUGUGUCAGAGGAUGGUGGAAUUCCCGGUGUAGCGGUGAAAUGCGUAGAGAUCGGGAGGAACAUCAGUGGCGAAGGCGGCCAUCUGGGACAACACUGACGCUGAGGCACGAAAGCGUGGGGAGCAAACAGGAUUAGAUACCCGAGUAGUCCCUGUCUCUUAUAC
rnacentral:rRNA from 1 species